ACCGGUAAAAAAAACCUUCCAUGCGUAAGUUUAAGACCAGUAGGAUGAAACUGCGGACGGCUCAUUAUAACAGCAAUAGUCUCUUUGGUAGUCGUACAGGAUAACUUUGUGAAUGAUAGAGCUAAUACUUGAGACCAUCCGGGAUGAAUUUAUACUUUCCGGCCCCCGGUCGCAAUGCCGGGGAAAAACGACACUCUCUUGUGAAAAAGGAUGCCCCGACAAUUGAGGAAAGCGACGCUUUUUACAAGUAACCAAUGGGAAUUUCUGAUCUAUC
rnacentral:rRNA from 1 species